rnacentral:rRNA from 1 species
GUGCACCAGGCGCGAAACCUCCGCAAUGCUCGAAAGAGCGACGGGGGGACUCCAAGUGCCUACGCUCAGCGUAGGCUGUUCCCGAGCCUAAAAAGCUCGGGGAGUAAGGGCUGGGUAAGACGGGUGCCAGCCGCCGCGGUAAUACCCGCAGCCCGAGUGGUGGCCGCUAUUAUUGGGCCUAAAGCGUCCGUAGCCGGCUCGGUAAAUGCCUGGGUAAAUCGUCUGGCCCAACCAGACGAAUUCCGGGUAGACUGCCGGGCUAGGGACCGGAGGAGGGAGAGGGGUACUCCAGGGGUAGGGGUGAAAUCAGCAAGGUGAGUUGCUGAUGUAACUUGCCUUGCAAGUCACAAUCCUGUAAUCCCUGGAGGACCACCGGUGGCGAAGGCGCUCUCCCAGGACGGUCGACGGUGAGGGACGAAAGCCAGGGGAGCAAACCGGAUUAGAUACCCCGGUAGU